rnacentral:rRNA from 2 species
AUGAGCCUAGGUCGGAUUAGCUAGUUGGUGAGGUAAUGGCUCACCAAGGCGACGAUCCGUAACUGGUCUGAGAGGAUGAUCAGUCACACUGGAACUGAGACACGGUCCAGACUCCUACGGGAGGCAGCAGUGGGGAAUAUUGGACAAUGGGCGAAAGCCUGAUCCAGCCAUGCCGCGUGUGUGAAGAAGGUCUUCGGAUUGUAAAGCACUUUAAGUUGGGAGGAAGGGCAGUUACCUAAUACGUAAUUGUUUUGACGUUACCGACAGAAUAAGCACCGGCUAACUCUGUGCCAGCAGCCGCGGUAAUACAGAGGGUGCAAGCGUUAAUCGGAAUUACUGGGCGUAAAGCGCGCGUAGGUGGUUCGUUAAGUUGGAUGUGAAAGCCCCGGGCUCAACCUGGGAACUGCAUUCAAAACUGUCGAGCUAGAGUAUGGUAGAGGGUGGUGGAAUUUCCUGUGUAUCGGUGAAAUGCGUAUAUAUAGGAAGGAACACCAGUGGCGAAGGCGACCACCUGGACUGAUACUGACACUGAGGUGCAAAGCGUGGGGAGCACACAGGAUUAGAUACCCUGGUAGUCCACGCCUUAACGAUGUCUACUAGCCUUUGGGA